rnacentral:rRNA from 1 species
AGAGUUUGAUCCUGGCUCAGGACUAACGCUGACGGUAUGCCUUAUACAUGCAAGUCGAACGGUAAGGUCCUUCGGGAUACACGAGUGGCGGACGGGUGAGUAACACGUAGGAAUCUACCCCAAAGUGGGGGAUAACUAAGAGAAAUCUUAGCUAAUACCCCAUAUGCCGUGAGGUGAAAGUUUUUUCGCUUUGGGAGGAGCCUGCGUCUGAUUAGCUAGUUGGUGAGGUAAUAGCUCACCAAGGCGACGAUCAGUAGCUGGUCUGAGAGGAUGGCCAGCCACAAUGGGACUGAGAUACGGCCCAUACUCCUACGGGAGGCAGCAGUAGGGAAUUUUGCGCAAUGGACGAAAGUCUGACGCAGCGAUACCGUGUGUGGGAAGAAGCUCUGUGGAGUGUAAACCACUGUCAGGAGGGACGAAUCAAUGACGGUACCUCCAAAGGAAGCACCGGCUAACUCUGUGCCAGCAGCCGCGGUAAUACAGAGGGUGCAAGCGUUGUCCGGAUUUAUUGGGCGUAAAGCGUCUGUAGGCGGUUUAUCAAGUCUGUAGUGAAAGAAUGGAGCUCAACUCCAUACCCGCUUCGGAAACUGAUAGACUAGAGAAUGUUAGAGGUAAGUGGAAUUUCAAGUGUAGCGGUGAAAUGCGUAGAUAUUUGAAGGAACACCAGAGGCGAAGGCGGCUUACUGGGACAUUUCUGACGCUGAGAGACGAGAGCCAGGGGAGCGAAAGGGAUUAGAUACCCCUGUAGUCCUGGCUGUAAACGAUGAGUACUAGUCGUCAUGGGAAUCGACCCCCGUGGUGACGCAGCUAACGCAUUAAGUACUCCGCCUGAGUAGUAUGUACGCAAGUAUGAAACUCAAAGGAAUUGACGGGGACCCGCACAAGCGGUGGAACAUGUGGUUUAAUUCGAUGCAACGCGAAAAACCUUACCUGGGCUUGACAUCUGUAGAAGGAAAUGGAGACGUUUCUGUGCCUUCGGGAACUACAAGACAGGUGCUGCAUGGCUGUCGUCAGUUCGUGUCGUGAGAUGUUGGGUUAAGUCCCGCAACGAGCGCAACCCACGUUGUUAGUUGCCAUCAUUUAGUUGGGCACUCUAGCAAGACCGCCGGUGUUAAACCGGAGGAAGGUGCGGACGACGUCAAGUCAUCAUGGCCUUUAUGUCCAGGGCUACACACGUGUUACAAUGGCCGGUACAACGGGCUGCUACUUAGCGAUAAGAGGCAAAUCCCUUAAAACCGGUCUCAGUUCGGAUUGCAGGCUGCAACUCGCCUGCAUGAAGUCGGAAUCGCUAGUAAACGCAGAUCAGCAUGCUGCGUUGAAUGUGUUCCCGGGUCUUGUACACACCGCCCGUCACACCAUGGAAGAUGGUAACGCCCGAAGUCGAUGAUCUAACCUUUAUUGGAGGAAGUCGCCUAAGGCAGUGCUGUUGACUGGGGUGAAGUCGUAACAAGGUA